rnacentral:rRNA from 1 species
CACAAUGGGUAGCCGGUCUGAGAGGAUGUACGGCCACACUGGGACUGAGAUACGGCCCAGACUCCUACGGGAGGCAGCAGUGGGGAAUCUUGGACAAUGGGGGAAACCCUGAUCCAGCGACAUCGCGUGGGRKAUGGAAGGCKUUCGGRUCCGUWAMCCMCUUUUCUGGGRGAAGAAURRRGUUGGGRGRAGAAUGCCCAUYCGAKGASGGUAYUCCAGGARCAAGCAUCGKCUAACUMCGUKSCAGCAGCCGMGGUAAGACSGAGGAUGGCGAGCGUUAUCCGGAAUCACUGGGCGUAAAGGGCGUSURGGCGGUCGRGUAAGUCASYUGUGAAAGCCCUCGGSUUCAACCGAGGWAUGUCUCGURAUACUGCUCGACUWGGGUGUGGGAGAGAGAGAGUGGAACUCACAGAGUAGCGGUGGAAUGCGUAGAUACURUGAGGUACCCCGAUGGCGAAGGCAACUCUCUGGSCUACUACCGACGCUGAAGCGCGAAAGCGUGGGGAGCGAAGGGGAUUAGAUACCCCCGUAGUCCACGCCCCAAACGAUGUUCACUUGGUGUCGGUCUCUUAUAGUGGGUCGGUGCCGAAGCUAACGCGUUAAGUGAACCGCCUGAGGAGUACGGCCGCAAGGYUAAAACUCAAGAGAAUUGACGGGYCCCCGCWCAAGCGGUGGAGCACGUGGUUUAAUUCGAUGGUAAGCSAAGAWCCUCACYUGGGCUUGACAUACUASUGGUAGGAACUUGWAAGGKGGACGACCCUGCYUUCGGGUAGGGAGCUAGUACAGGUGAUGCAUGGCUGUCGUCAGCUCGUGUCGUGGGAUGUAGGGUUAAGUCCCGAAACGAGCGCAACCCUUGUCGCUAGUUGCCAGCGGGUAAUGCCGGGGACUCUAGCGAGACUGCUGGUGAAUAGCCGGAGGAAGGCGGGGAUGACGUCAAGUCAUCAUGUCCCUUAUGCCCAGGGCGACACACAUGCUACAAUGGGAGGUACAAACCGUCGCAAAACUGCAAAGUGGAGCUAAUCGGAAAAAGCCGGCCUCAGUUCGGAUUGGAGUCUGCAACUCGACUCCAUGAAGCUGGAAUCGCUAGUAAUCGCAGAUCAGAACGCUGCGGUGAAUACGUUCCCGGGCCUUGUACACACCGCCCGUCACAUCACGAAAGUGGGCUGCACUAGAAGCCGGUGUGCCAACCCGCAAGGGAAGCAGCCGUCCAAGGUAUGGCUCAUGAUUGGGGUGAAGUCGUAACAAGGUAACC